UGGGGAAUUUUGACAAUGGGCGAAAGCCUGAUCCAGCAAUGCCGCGUGUGUGAAGAAGGCCUUCGGGUUGUAAAGCACUUUUGUCCGGAAAGAAAUCCUUGGCUCUAAUACAGUCGGGGGAUGACGGUACCGGAAGAAUAAGCACCGGCUAACUACGUGCCAGCAGCCGCGGUAAUACGUAGGGUGCAAGCGUUAAUCGGAAUUACUGGGCGUAAAGCGUGCGCAGGCGGUUUGCUAAGACCGAUGUGAAAUCCCCGGGCUCAACCUGGGAACUGCAUUGGUGACUGGCAGGCUAGAGUAUGGCAGAGGGGGGUAGAAUUCCACGUGUAGCAGUGAAAUGCGUAGAGAUGUGGAGGAAUACCGAUGGCGAAGGCAGCCCCCU
rnacentral:rRNA from 1 species